ensembl:lncRNA
CCGCAUCGUUGUCGAUGAGGUGAAGUUUUGUGUAAGGAGACGUUUAUUCAACAUUUAUGGAAGGAGUCUCCAGGGUCAGCGCUUUUGUAACAGUCUGAGGUAAAGCUGUAACUGCACACCAUAAUCUCACGCAUGCAGUAAUGAACGUUAAUCGCGUUUCUAAAAGUCUCGGUUAAACACGCCCCGUCACGACUCCUCUCACAACGUGUGCGCUUGUGGUUUUUGGUUUCGAUCCAUCUUUGUGCUCUUAAAUCACACGAGCAAUGCGUUAUGUCACUGCAUGUUUAGUUUAAUUUCUAAUACUUUACAGCGGAAAUAACAAAUUGCUAUCAUAAAUAGCGAAAGGAGUUUUGGAGGUUCAGCAUGUUAAUCUGUUCGGAGAGAUAAGGAGGUGUGACGUAUCUUGGUUUACCAGCACAGCAGAAAGAGAGAACAUGGUGAACUUCACGAGUCUCGUAUCUCCAUUCCUCUCCCUCUCAGCUGUUUGCACAAAGUCAGAGCUUUACACUGGACGGUUGAUGUUAAAUAUCUGAUAUUGGUCGGACUCCAUCAAAAGCACUUGAGAGGGGAAAAGGUAAUCCCUCCAUUCAUUUUCUGUACGGCGUAUCCCACACGGGGUCGCGGGGAACCUGGAGCCGAUGCCAGGGGACUCGGGGCACAAAGCGGGGGACACCGUGGACGGGGUGCCAACCCAUCGCAGGGCGCAAUCGUAUAUACACGUUCACACAUCAUGGACGACUUGGAAUUGCCUAUUAGCCUGCAGGGCAUGUCUUUGGACUAGUGGAGGAAACCUGAGUACCCGGAGGAAACCCCCGAAACACAGGGAGAACACGCACACUCCGUGCACACAGGGUGGAGGCGGGACUUGAGCACCCAACCCCGUAGUCGUGAGGCAAACAUGCUAACCACUAAGGCACACCUUGAAAUAUGAACCCUCUCGUUUUAUACAGAAUUGUUUGAUUUGAUUUUUAAAAAUAUAGGUGCCGAAUCACAAAUAAACGAGGCCGAUUUAAUCCAAAUCGUAUCAAUACUUUUAUUUGUUUGUUGAUUUAUUUAUUUAUUUAUUCAUCUUGUUUUAAUAUUACGCCUAGUGAAAUUUUAAAAUACUAAGUCACUUCCUUAGUAGAAGCC